UUCCGAUAAUAGCAAACCCGGUGAAAGCCGGGGACGCAAAGCCUACAGAUCUAAGGUGAGAAAUCACGAUGAUGGCUGGGUUGCCGAA
rnacentral:ncRNA from 1 species